ACUCCACACUAUCUUAUCUCUCUGCAGCGGUUAAACCAAUCAACAGUAAACCAAUCAAUCAAUCAGUUAAAGCCUCAUGAUUAGUUACUAAUUAACGCCAGUCAUUAGCUACAUCACUGUAACAUAUAAACCUCAGUUAAUAAAUGUCUUAUUACAUAUUUAUUACAUAAUUAUAGUACGUCAUUAACUAUAUUAAUACGUAACUAUAUUAAUACGUAGCUAACCCCUAACUUAACUAACUCCCCACUCACAAUAAAUAAAUCAAUAAAUCAAUAAAUCAGCGUUUAGACCGGCUCUUACACCUCUCGCUUUGGCUAAAAUAAAGCGUAAAUGAAUAAAUGUAAAUGUAAUACAUACUGUUAUACUUCACCGUGAUCAGACUAUGAUGUUAUUUUAAUAAAGAGCAGUUUAGGAGAACUCUUCCGGUUUGAGAAAGAACCCUUUUAGGAACUCUUAACUAUCCGGACGAACCCUUGACACGUGGAAGUGUGUGAAAUAUUAAAGAGCAUUACAUCAGCAGCUGUAUAUCGUUUAUCAUCACGUCAGAAAUGGAUUAAUCAAUACAUCAUAGUGCUCAUGUGUAAAAGAUGGAUAUUUAUGAUCCGAUGUUCACGUGUACAGUGGAGUCAAAAUGUUCCUCCUGCAUGCUGUAGAACCUGGAUACAGUUCUGCUCCAGGCUUAAAACCCUCAACCUCCAUCACGCUUUAAUCUGAAAAGAGCUCCGUUACUGAAUACGUCGCUUUCUUUAACAACAUACACGUUUUUUUUCCUUGUAACAUUUUUACAGAAUAUUAUUAAUGAAAAUGUAAAACUCUCUGUUCUGGUGAUGCGUUAAUGAAGAAUACUGUAAUUUAAAGAAAACAUCUGAAACAAAAUUUGGAUAAAAAACUAAAGGGGUCAAAACUUUUGCACAAAACAGUACAUCCAUGUGUAAUAUUAUACAAGUAAGUAAUAAAUACUGUGUGUGUGUGUGUGUGUGUGUGUGUGUUACAGUGUGUGUGAUGAAGCGGAGUUACUGUAACCACCCAGAAGUUGAUUAUUUUCCUCUAACAGCACGUCCCCGAGUGUUUUAUUCCUCUUACACCACAGCGAUUUACCAACAGUUACAAUUUCUUAUUUAUUAAAGAACGACAAAUUUUUAAUCCAGUUAAUAUUGUUGUGUUUCAUCUCUGAAAUGAGUUAGUUCCUGUUGUCACUUACGUUAUAGCAGCUGUAAACACUCGUUUCCUCACUAGAGUCUCUUUUUUCUCUCUUGAAGUUAAUAAGAAAAAUAAAAUCGCAGCUUGUUGCGCAUGUUACUGAGAAACCGCAAAGAAGCGUAAACUCCUCUGUCCUGAAGACGUCGGAAAACUUAAAGUUACAGCUUUACCUCUGACUGUUACAAAGCGCUGACACUGGAGACUCCUUCCAUCAAUGUUACAUAAACAUCUCCAUACAGAAAAUUUCACCAUCUGACCAAUUUUUACUGUACUGUAAAUGAUCUGUUGCUAUAGAAACGAUAAAGUCUUACUGCAAGAGCAUUAAUAUAAACCUGUGAUUUGCAGCUGCACUACUGUCAGAGCUGCUGUUCUAGAGAAUUCAUCAACCCCUUCUGACCAAUCACAAUCCAGAAUUCAGCAGCAGAGUGGUGUAGUAUAUAUUUUAUUUUAUUUAUGUCGAGAAUGUCGAAUGUAGAAGUUAAAACCGACAAACUAAAGGAAGAGGGUGGAACUUAUGAGCUCCCUUUUGUCAAAUAUUUACACACUUAUGUCACACACACACACACACACACACACACACACACGUACACACACGUACACACACGUACACACACCUUUGUAAACAGAGAACAGUCACGUAGAUUCAUCGUUCAAGUCUGAAAACACACGAUUCCUUAAAACUAUUUUAUAAGAGCUUAAUUUACAGCUGUACAUGUUGUCCAUGUGGUGGUUCUGUCCUAAACACAGGCUAUGAGAAGGUUCCCUACUGAGUGUGAUACUGGCGUUAAAGGGUGCGAGGGCAGAUCUGAGACGUAGAAUCAGGACACAGCCUGUUUGUGUUCAUUAGAGAAACACUAAACACUGACUUCGGGUUUUAUUUCUGAACUGCGGAGGAAGCCCAGCUCCUGAACCUCAGAACUGACCCAAGAUCUGAAAAGCCUGAUACACGGCACCUCACAGAAAGGAAAGCUGUUUGCUCCAGACUGGACCGUGUUCCUCGGGGCCUCGUCGGGAAGUGGAAAGUUUACGGGCGUAUUUGGGACGCAGCCUGACAGGAAACGUGUUCAGAAGGACAGCAGUGUUCUAACAGGGUUUAUUUUUAAAUGAUUAUAUAAUCAGUUAUCUGCAGGUUUUUCAGAGCCUUGAAUACACAAGAGUUUAAUGUUUUAUACAUUUAAAUAUUUAAUAUUGAUUUAUUUCACAAUGUCUUUUUUAGACAAUAAUAAAAAAAUUAAAAUGAUAUAGUUAAAUAAUAAUUAAAUAAUAUAGUGUAGUGCUUUUUAUUUGAUACAUAAAAACAAAACAUACGGUCUAUAUCAAAUAUAUUAAAAUGAUUUCAAUUUAAUUCUAUUUUUUAUUCAGUUAUAAAAUAUAUAAAUAUAUAAAUUCAUAAUAGUAGUGCAGUUAUAUGGAGCUUUUUACGUACAUUUUUAUUACACACACACACACACACACACACACACACACACACACACACACAAUUAGAAUCUUCUUGGCUUGCUUCAGAAGUCCAGCUGGACUUUGUUCCUCGCUGCGUGUCUUUUCAGGUCAGAUCAAUAUCUCAGUGGGUGUUUGUCAAUUUUCUUAUUGAUCGAAAUAAUAUUUAUUUGUUUGGCAACAGUUAUUUAUUUCACCUUUAGACGAGCAGCGGCGUCGUGUCUGAAUAACUGCAGAGUGUUGGGCUGUGUCCCAAACGCCCGCGUGUGAUAUAAAAAGCACAGAACUCUUAUUAGAGCGAUGUUUACUCUGAGUCACACACAGCUGAUGUAGCUCGCUGGCUAAUGUGCUACCACAGGGGGCAAAACACUUUCUGUUAAAAAGUGAGAAGAACAGAAGAAGUGUUUGAGUCUGAGAAUUAAAAUUAACACUCACCAGACACGAACUCAGAGUGACAGCGUUUAUAUUUAACACCAAAUCAGAACUUUAGUUUUAUAAUAAUUUUGAAGAUUUUAUUGUAUUCUAUCACUUUCAUUAUCUUGUAGGAGGAAGUCAGAUUAAAAUAAAUGAAUGAGACAAAAGCUUAUAACAAUCUCUCUCUCUCUCACUCUCUCUCUCUCUCUCUCUCGAGCUACACCUUCUACUCCUGAGAUGCCAGUGAUCCUGAUCCCUUCUGCUCUCCGGACCUACCUGAUCCAUCCUGAUGCCCUACUUCUGGUUGGAGUUCUCAUCAUUUGGAGAUCACUUGCUGCUGCUGGGGCCCCUUAUGGACAGCCUGGUGCCACCUGGGGGCCGUGGAGAUGGUGCUGCUUGGGGAUCUCAUAUGGGGAGCUGUACUGUACUGUACUGUAAUGGCUUGGGACUGUGAUUGUUGUAGUGGCUUUGGUUGCACAAUUGCACUAUUUGUCCAUAUAGUACACAGUUAUAGAAAGGAAUGAUUUAUAAUCGCACUAUCGGGUGUCACCCAGAUGAAGAUGGUUCCCUUUUGAGUCUGGUUCCUCUCAAGGUUUUUUCCUCAUAUCAUCUCAGGGAGUUUUUCUUCUCCACCGUCACCUCUGGCUUCCUCAUUAGGGAUAAAUUCAUACAUUUAAAAUUUAUAUCCUGAAUCCAUUUAUUUCUGUAAAACUGCAUUGUGAUAAUGUCCAUUGUUAAAAGUGCUACACAAAUAAAAUUGAAUUGAAUUGAAUUGAA